rnacentral:rRNA from 1 species
GUCAGCAGCCAUACCAGCUGCAGGUCAGACUCGGUCAUCCACCCGAAGAUAAGCAGGUUUGGGCCUGGCUGGUACUGGGGUGGGAGAUUGACUAGGAAUGCUGGUUUGCUGCUGGAA